rnacentral:lncRNA from 1 species
CGUGCGGCGAUUUUCAGGCGUCAGCUUGUGUUUAAUGAUAAAAAAGUCCUCUUCCAGUGAAGAAAAAUUGAAAACGCUAGCGUACGAGGAGCAUUAGCGCGUGUUUAUUGCACUCAUCGCGCACUUUCGAUCGCGAUUGAAAGUGGUUAAUUGUUCAAGGACCAGACACGAUUGGUCGAGCGCAUUAUCAUCUUACGUACUGCUGAAUACAUUGAGAGUACCUGCACGAAGAUCGUCCGCCUGGUCUGAAGGGUCAACAGACACCUUCUGGCGUAGAAAGGUAAACUUCAAGCAUCUUUGGUCAUGGAUGCCACUGCAACUUUCACACUGCCGAGCGAACAUGCAGGUGAAGAGAGCCUGGAGAGAACGUCAACAACACCUCAUCUUGCUGUCAUCGGUAUCACUGCAACAAGCACUGCAAAAUGUGGGGAUAACGUUAUGCACUGAUCUCACCGCACGGAAAGGAUGUCUGCGACAUACUACUUGAAAACUGUGAACACUGGGGCUUCAAGCACGUUUCCGAAUCUCAACGCACUAACAUAAUUACUCUCUUCCCAGCAAUUAACAUAACGAUACAAGCGUCACAUCUUGGUGGUAAAACGUCGCACACCAAACACGUAUUGAUGGACAAGAGCACGAAAAUUGACCAAAAGACAGAACUGAUCUAGCAGAAAUAACACUCCAUCGAUUAUAUAGUUGAGUUGUACAAGGCCUGCUGCAAAUCGUUCCAUGCGAACAAUGUUGCAUGAAAACCUAGUGCAUUUAUACAGCUGCGGAAUAAACAUAUAAAGUGGAAAAACUUA